rnacentral:tRNA from 1 species
GGGGCAUUAGCUCAGCUGGGAGAGCACAACGCUGGCAGCGUUGGGGUCAGAGCGGUUCGAACCCGCUAUGCUCCACCA